ensembl:snRNA U6 U6 spliceosomal RNA
GUGCUCAUUUCGGCAGCACAAAAUACUAAAGCUGAAAUGAUACAGAAAAGAUUACCAAGGCGCCUGCAUAAGGAUGACACAUAAAUUUGUGAAGCAUUCCAUAGUUUU